rnacentral:tRNA from 1 species
GGGGAUAUAGCUCAGUAGGUAGAGUGCUUGCCUUGCAUGCACAAGGCCCUGGGUUCAAUCCCCAGCCCCA